AGCAGUCCUUUGACAUUGCAGGAAUCAAACAACUGAACAAAGCUCAGCAGCCAAACAUUUCCCUAUUUAAAACAUGGCAUACUAAUUAUGCAUUUAGAAUAUAGCAAAAUAAACUACUGGAGCUGCAUUAACUAGUCUAUAAUUUAUAAAGUCCAGUCUAAUUUAUUAGAAAUCCCGGAAUCAAAUAGGGUACAAACUAUAAAUUACAUUAAUGCCUUAAAAUAAAUUACAACAAAAUGAAAAGAAGAGUUUCCUAAACUGCUACUGCUCCAGCUUUAAAUGAGCCAAGAUUCUCAUGAGUUUGACCAUGUGAAAGGGUCAGAUUCACAAAGCAUCUUCAAAUGUAAGGACCUACAAUGUUAUCAAGUUAAUCCUAAUUUAAAAUGAGCAAAGGAAAAUAAUGAUGUCCAUAAGUCUAACCAUGUUUUAAGGUUAUCCCUACAGACAAGCAAAGAUAUCCAAAACCAUGAUUUACUCCAUAGUUCUCAUCUCAGUAAAGAAGAAAAGAGGGGAAGGGAAAAUAACUUAGACAUAUUCUAAAGAAAUCAAGACUAUUAUGCACUAUUAAGAGAUGAAUCUGACCAUUUAAAAGGUCAUGACCACUUUCCUUUUGUGUUGCUCUAAGAGAGGAAUUUAGGACAUAGUUUUAUAGGUAUAUACACUGAUUCAGCAAUCAACUUUAUCAAGUUUUAACACAUGUACAGCACAAUAUCACAGAUUUCAUGAUUAAAUUCAACAGCCAUUUAAGCUAAUAUUAACACAUGGCUUAAUCAACCCUAGAUUCAACCAAAUCAUGAUUUUCAGAACUAACAUCAAAGAUCAGCUAACCAAACAAGUUCCAAAUACAGAUUUUUGAACUCAAAAUUGAUUCCAUUCAAGAUGAACAUUGUACAUACCUUGAAACUGAAAAAUAUAGCAGAGGAAUGACCAAAUAAAGGUCAAGAAGACCAAAAGAGAAAAGGAAACCAAACUUCAGCAGCAACAACCAGCAAAACACAUCAGUAAACCCAGACCAAAUGAAGAUAGCUUUGAAACCAAACAACCAGCUCAAGGAAACAAGAAAAUCUUCCACUUUAAACCAUAUUUUCAACUUGUAAAGAAUCAUGAAUGAGAAGUUUUGAAGUUUUUUUCAAGGUUUCCUGAAUCUGAAACUUUCAGAAAAAGAAAAAUAGAGCUUUUGUGCAGUAAAA
rnacentral:lncRNA from 1 species